GACGAACGCUGGCGGCGUGCUUAACACAUGCAAGUCGAACGGAAAGGCCCUGCUUUUGUGGGGUGCUCGAGUGGCGAACGGGUGAGUAACACGUGAGUAACCUGCCCUUGACUUUGGGAUAACUUCAGGAAACUGGGACUAAUACCGGAUAGGAGCUCCUGCUGCAUGGUGGGGGUUGGAAAGUUUCGGCGGUUGGGGAUGGACUCGCGGCUUAUCAGCUUGUUGGUGGGGUAGUGGCUUUCCAAGGCCUUGACGGGUAGCCGGCCUGAGAGGGUGAACAGCGACAUUGGGACUGAGAUACGGCCCAGACUCCUACGGGAGGCAACAGUGGGGAAUAUUGCACAAUGGGAGGAAGCCUGAUGCAGCAACGCCGCGUGCGGGAUGACGGCCUGCGGGGUGUAAACCGCUUUCGCCUGUGACGAAGCGUGAGUGACGGUAAUGAGUAAAGAAGCACCGGCUAACUACGUG
rnacentral:rRNA from 1 species